UACAUACAAUUACUGCAUUAUUCCCUACCUUUCUCUAUCUCUCAUAUAUCCCAAAGAUGAAGCCCUCCAUGAAUGUUCCUCUUCUUGUAGUCUUCAUGAUUAUGAUGCUUCUCUCAAGCAAUGAUAUGGGGGGUCCAAUAAUGAAGGUGGAAGCAAGGCUUUGCAACUAUAGGAGCCAGAAGUUCACUGGAGUGUGUGUGGUGGGGAACAAGUGUCACAGCAGCUGCCUUAGCCAGGGUUUUGCUGGGGGACACUGCCACGGCUUGCGUCAUCUUUGCUACUGCUAUAAAAAUUGUUAAUUACAGAGAGAAGCUAAUAAGGAAAUAAAUGAAACGUGACACCUCAAAUAAUGUUAUGACGAUGUAUGUUUAGGUAGAAUGAAGUUUUACAAAAUUAAAUGUGUGGUACGAUGAUAUGAUGAUGUUUAGAUAUAAUGGUCGCUAGCUACUUCAUUUGAGCAACAUUUUGUUGCUUGCUGGUAAAUAAAAGUGACCUGCCUUACUUGCUUUA